UUAUACCUGAUUCCUGAACCUCAGAACUUGAUACGGUGAGGUGAGCAGUUGAGACUUGAGAGAGGCGGAGAGCAGAGAAUCAGAGAGAGGCUGAGGAGGCGGGGAGCUUCAAGCUUGCUGCCUUGCUUGAGCCUUGAGCUGUUGUCUGUUGAGCGAACAAUGGAGACUGGAGACUAGAGAGAGGCGGAGAGCAGAGAGACUAGAGAGAAAGGAGUCCUUAAUGGCAGAUUCGGGUGAAAAUCAACAGCCUGAACAAGUCUGCAACUUUUUCAGAAAGCCGUCAAGGAAUAAAAACAUCAGAAAAAGAACAGUUGAUAAAGAUGAAGAGGAUGAUUCAAAAACAGAAGGCUCAUUCUUACACAGUCAAAAGAAAACCAUAAAGCCUGACAAUAAGCUGUAUUUUUCGACUGGAUCCUCUAAGAACAAAACGUCUACUGAAGCAAAGGAAGAAUCUGAGAAGCCAAUUUUUCAGUUUGAGUCUUCAAGGGAAAUUCAAGUUGAACAUGAUAGCAGAGCGACAGCAACUCUAGAAACUGAGACCGAUUUCUCAAGAGAUGCUUGUGCAUUGUGCGAGAGAUCUCUUAAGCAAGCAGAGGAGGCUUUGAAGGGGAAAGGAAAAAGCUCUGGGGAUGAAAAGUUGUAUAGAGGAAUUAAUGGAUAUACUGAUUACAAGGCUGGUUUCCGAAGAGAGCAAACAGUUGCUAGUGAGAAAGCUAGCGGAGCACAUGGGCCUUUGAGGGCUUCUGCUCACAUAAGAGUUUCAGCGAGAUUUGAUUAUCAACCGGACAUAUGUAAGGAUUACAAAGAGACUGGUUACUGUGGGUAUGGAGAUUCUUGUAAGUUUAUGCAUGAUCAAGGGGAUUACAAGUCUGGAUGGCAAAUGGAGAAGGAGUGGGAUGAAGCAGAGAAAGUAAGGAAGAGAAAUCUAGCUUUGGGAUUAGAUGAUGAGGAUGAUGGUGGUGUAGACCCUGGUGAGGAAGAUGAUGAUGAUGAUUCGUUGCCCUUUGCAUGUUUCAUUUGCAGGCAGCCUUUUGUUGAUGCUGUUGUAACCAAGUGCAAGCACUAUUUCUGUGAGCAUUGCGCAUUAAAGCAUCACGCAAAGAACAAGAAAUGGUUUGUUUGCAACAAACCUACUCUUGGCAUUUUCAAUACAGCUCAUAAGAUAUGCAAAAGGAUUGCCGUAGAGGGUAAAUAAUAGUCGCUUGGUUGUUCGUCGUGCUCUUUGGUUUGUAACUUAUUGGAAUGAUAUAUAUAUAUAUUUUUAGUUAGCAUUUAAAGAGGAAGUUUUCUUAUCUGUCUCUUUUUCCUAGAAUGUUUGGCAAAAUUCUCUUUAACUAGAGAUCUUACUGAAGGAAAGCAAUUUAAGUAGGAGUACUAUUGUAGGUUUCUGCAGAAUUUAAUUAGUAUUGGGUAUAUGAGAAAGCAAACAGAUUUGCUCAGUUUCCUAUUUGGAACAAUUUUUUUAAUUAGGUGGAGACUGCUUCAUACAUUGGAUCCAAAAGGACAGGUCAUGACAUUGAAGUUUCUUUUUUUUUCUUGUUUUCUAUGAUCCUGAUUUAUACGUCUUAACCUGAUAUGUAAGAAACUUUUACGAUAUUUCAUAUUAGCUUUAAUAAGUAAAUAGACUUAACAUAUUAGUCAUUCUCUUUUAUUGGGGGAUUAUUGGGAAAUUACCUUUUAAAUAUUUUCUGGUGAGACAAACAAAGUUCCAGUUUUCUGCUUUUGCUAAUUGGGUGUUCAAAUGAUCACAAAAGAGGAAAGCUUGGAGCUCUAUGUAGACAUGGUACUUGGCAGGGCUGUUUAUGAUGUGUGCACCCAAAUGUGUCACGGGAAAUAUGUUUGGUUUCCUUCUCCUCUACAAUGAUGAAGAGGUGAAGAGGCUGUGUUAACCUGGUUUAUCUAGUUUUUGAAGAUGGAAGAUUGUGUGAUCAGUACAUAACAUACAUGAGCAAUGGGUUCCUGCCUCUGCUGUGAUAUGUGAGCUCGCACUUUGGACACUGGGUGUUGCCGAGACCAUGGUCGUUUGAUGUCAAAAGAGCAAAUUUUGCUUGGUGGGUAAGAGUUCAUUGGUGAAAGGUUCUGGUGGCAACAGGCCUGCAUUUAGGAUGUCAAGAGUUCCUGUUGAUGGUAUGAAAUAUUUUGAAGGGUAGGGAGGUGGCAGAGGCAAUUGGAAGGGAUAAAGGAGAACAGCGGACAUUGGCAGAAUUUGAGACAUAGGUUUAGAGGACACUCAUUGGCUGAUCCUGAUGAGCUUUGUGACCCUGUUGAACCAAAUUCAAAUGAUGCUGCCCCAUCCUCAGUUGUAUAUGCCAUUUGUAUUGAAAUUUUUCUAUAUUCUGAUGUUGAAUUAAUUGAGUUGGAUGAUUGCUAAUGAGCUCUAGGUCAAAUAGCACCCCCUUCCCAUGCAAGUAAAGGUGGAAGGUGAGGUCAACCAAUGGGAUGCUGUGUAAUUGGCAGUAAAAAAUUCACUUUUGUUGGAUUAUGGCUUAAGGAUUAUAUUGAAUAGCAUCUUAAAUGGUUGAUAAGCAGCUAGUUCUCUAUCUGGAUCAGCUUGGCAGCUGUUUGAUUUGAAGAAGCAUGUCAACUGGAAAGGUAGCUUAGCUUUGUCAAGUGCAAAAUUUUUCUGGUUGAAACUAAGAGGAUCGAGUUGUUGAAUUGUUGAGACAUGAGCUGAUUGUAUUAGGCCUAUUUUUUAGAAAACCUUUUUUAUGAGAUGAUGGGAAUGUAGGCCUCUGCUUUUGCCUUCUGUUCUUUAUUUGAAUAUCUACCAUUGUAGACA